UCCUAGGGCGUCACUCGGCCUCUGUCCCCCUGACGAUCCCCCCUGCAACUCCUCCACCACGGACCAGAGACCCCCCUCUCUGGGCGGCAGACACGGGUGGCUUGCGCCGGCUGGUUUGAAGUAGAGAUAACACCAGCUGGAGUUGGCUUUGGGGCUGUUACUUCUUUCCCAUGAUCAGUCAUGCAUUUUUGUGGUAUUGAUCCUUGGCCCAGACCCUGACUGGCUAAAGCCAAUAAUUCUAUCCCAUCGCAUCUCUCUGGCCGCCAUUAUUUGAUCCAUGAUGGCAGAAACCCAGUCAGAACCACUGAAACCUGUGGAGAAGUCUUCUAGGGCUUCUGGGAAAAAGAAAGUUCUCUCCCCUCCUUGAAAGCCACUCCUUCUGUGAUCCGUAUGGUGUGAAGACAUAAAGACCUGAACGGCUUCUUUACUACUAGGUCAGAAGACCACGGAACUGCCAAUGGGAAGCCAUUUGAGGACUGAAGAAGCAACUGAUGCUUUGGAAUGCAAAGAGGAAAUAUGGAAAGGAACAAAACUGGUCCUUGAUGAUUCUAGAUCAAACUGUACCUGAAGCUGGUCCUGCCUCUGGCCUUUUCACUGAUGCAAGUUUAUACAUCCCGUUAUUCUUCAAGCCAGUUUGAGUUGGAUUCCCUGUCAUUUUCAAUGGAAAGAUUUUUAACUCACCAUUUGCUUUUGUCAAAUUGAUGAUGACAUAUUAAUACCUUUUCAAUGAGUGAUGCUGGGAAAAUGGGGCCAUGCUGUGGGUUUCUGCUUCCCUGUUUUCUUUAGUAUGUUGUUUUCAAUUGGAAUGAAUACCUUCUUAAAUCAUUUUCUUAGUGGUCUCCUUGUCCACACUUUACAACACAGAUCAAGUAUCACUUUCCCUAUGAAUUCAUUACUGAGCAAGAAUGAUAAACACUGGAAUUUUAGAUCUGUUGAGACUGUCCCAAGCAAAAGUUGAGUACUUGUUUUAAGUUAGAUAGACAUGAUUUUGAAACCUGACUCUCUAAUUUACUAGCUGUGUGACUUUCGACAAUUUGCCUAAACUCUCUAAGACACUUCUCCCAACCUGUAAAAAUCCUGUUAAUAAUAGCAUCUUAUCCCAGACAACUUUUGUGAAGAUAAAAUGAAAUAGUUCAUGCACAACAAUUACCAAGGUGCUUGACACAGAAUAAAUGCUCAAUAAAUGUUGAUGCUGUUGUUAGUGUUAACAACUUAUCAAGGAACCUACCAUCUAGAAAGAGUCCAAUAAAUCUAAUCUGCAGUUGUUAGUACGAUAAAUAUCUGCUAUCUGAGUAAUUUAAAAAGUCAUGAAUAAUGUUUGAAUGAAUAUGAGUUAAUUAAAAUAUAAUUCAAUGAAAAAAAUGAAUGAAUGAAUGAAUGGCAGCUGGAAACUGAGAGGCAGGGACACAAGUAGAGGGGCUGGGCCAGAGGAUACGAAGGAGGAAGAAAGAACUGAAAGAUACCCUGUGCUUGAUGAGAAUGCCCUUCCCAUGAUCUGUGUCCCCGUCAGGUGGAAUGUUCUGCAGUGCCGCUCCCUUCCUCCUCUCAUCACUGUGGGUCAUCUGUCGGGAGCUUCUUGAUGGGCAGCUUUACAGACAGCCAUAAAGCGGCAUUUAUGGCCAAAGCCAUCAUAUUUCGUUGAGCUCUAUGCUUAGGGUGUCUACACUAUUUUCUCUCUUUUCUCUGGGUCCUAGUCACUCUGCAAAGAAGAAAUUUAGCAGAGAUGGCUGAAUUCCUUCUCAUGGUUCUGCAUAGCCUCUGAGAUAAAAUGCAAGAAACCUCAAGAACCAGAAGGCCAUUAAGAAUAAAUAGGAUAAUGCGGACGUUUACUGAGUACUUACUUUAGUCCAGGCCUAAAGACUUGGCCGUCCAAGAUAACUCACCAUCUUGAGCUGUGGAUCAGCUCAUGCAGUCUUCACCACUGUAUAUGCAGCUACGCACAGUAGCUCAACUUUGCUGAUGAAGAAACAGAGACACGUCAAGGUUGUGUUCCAUGUUCAAUGUCACAGGGAGCUGACAGGAUGUUCACCCAGGUAGUCCACAUCCAGAACCUGUGCUCCAGGGAGCUCUAGGCUCCACUGUGUCUACACAAUGUGUUGACUCCUAUGGCACUUGAAGCUACAAACACAGUUGUCCCUCUAUUUCCCCUUAGACUCCACAACAAUGGACUCUACAGAAGUAAGUUUCUUAAAAUAAAAUUCUUCAAAUGUGGACACAUUAGAGACACUUUGAGAUGAUUUCAAGAGCUGCUAUUUAUAGAUUUCUUUGAAAAAGAGUUUUUACAAAUUUCCCUUUUUCCAUUGAUCCUUAAUAAGCAGUAGACAGACACUUCAACUCCUGUUUGGACUUGAACUUCACGGGACCAUGCAGCAUUCUUGGUGGAACUGGCACUGAGCAAAUUAGUUCCCAUCACUGAAUCUGGAUCAUGUAACAUCUGGGGCAGCCAAAUUCCACCAAGCAGAUUAAGCACAGAGUUUUGAAGGAAACCUCCACUGCGUGUAGAGGAUGGGAGAGACGGCGCCCUCACCGCCCAGGAUGGAAACUGGAGGGUGAGACUGCCUCCUCCGUCAACCCUCCGGCAGCCACAAGAUUGCAGUCUGUCCCAUCAGGUGCGCCCACCUUGUCGAUUUGAGUCUGUGGCUGUGCGAACAUUUGAUGUGGCUCGCAGUAGUUGCUCUGGUGUCCACGGGCAGUGGCAUCACAGCAAACGGUCCUGGUGGUGUUAUCUUCAGUGAACUGUUCAGGCUAAAAGAAGGAUGUCAGCAUUCUCGCCUCCUGGCUCCUCUCCCCAUUGCCGUGGUUCUCACCAGGUCCUCCAACCAUUUCAUAAUUUUCAGUCUCGAUAAAGUAAAACUUUACUUCAAAUAAAUUUACUUUUAAAAUCUGAAAUAGUCAGAAUUGGUUUCUGUUGUGUUUAACCCACAACCUUGAAACUUUUAAUUGGCUUGGGCAUGAGAUAGAAGGAUGCUCUGAUCACUCUGGGCUGCAGUAAUUUGGGAAGCCUCCACGGAGAAUAAGGGCUUCAAGUACUCUGCACAGGCAGAGAGCAACGGAGCAGCUGUUCUGCGUUGAACUCCUGGUAGAGAGAAGCAGAAAAAGUCUAGUAUGCUGAAAACAAUUUUAAACUAUAAAGACAAGUUUUGUUUAUCUUCCUUAUCAUUUUAUCUUCAAGAAAGUAACUCAGUGCCAGUAACUCAGUGACUGGCAAACAACAGCAUGUAUUAAAAGUGCUGAAUGAGGGCUGGCCUGGUGGUGUAGUGGUUAAAUUUGUGUGCUCCACUUCACUGGCCCUGGGUUU